UAGGGUUUGAAAACUCCCAUUAGCUAAAGGAGCUGGUAAGGUGGCCUGUUACUGGUUAGAUGGGACAGGCUAAAGGAGCUGGUGAGGUGCACACUGUGCCCUGAAGCUGAUGUUAAGUGGAGACUCAAAAUUCCUCUCCAAUCACCUCUUGUUAGCAGCGGAGGUAGGCAAAUUGCUAGAGAGGAUUAAGUGGGGGCCAAUGCUUGGAUCACUGUCAAGCAGAGAAAAGACUCAAUUUGUGGUAAUCAGUUCUGUAAGAGGUCUUUGUGGCUGUGCUUGCCUUCCCAAGGUGUGGACCCAGACCGGGCAAGGGUAGAAAAACGGCAGCAGGCUGGCUUUUUCUUGAGCAUAUUAAAAUGACUAUUCCCGUCCAUGAGAUAAGCCUGGCUGUUAAUAGGGCUUUACCUCCACAGGUCUCUCUCCCCACAUCUGAGGCUCAAAUGUUCCAUAAACACUUGAACAUCACUGUGCAUAAACCAUCGUCCUGAUCUCUAUAAACACAGCAGGACCUAAAAAGGAGAUGUAUGGUGUGUCAGAGGAAGGCGUACAUGUCUUCUGUGUCUGUAUAAGAUGCAUGUAAAAAAGAAAUAAAACAAGGGUAUAUUUCAAGAAUUACACAGUAGUGUCUGGGGUAGUAGAUGCACCGUGUCCCAACUCAAGAGAGGUUUCUUUAGAUGGGCAAGGACCUUUUCCUAACACAUAGAGCACCUGCCCAGGCCGCUGAUACAAGUUGUCUUCUGAAGGCCAUGACCAGGCCUCUACCAGCUUCCCUUUCCCAACUCUUAUGUGAAGGAUUUUGGUAAGAGAAUGAAGGGGAGCCCAGGUUUCCAGGAAGAAGCAUUAGGCAACUUUAAAACAAAGGAAGAGUGCAGGGUUGAGAUGGUAUUUAAAGCCCAGAUGUGAUUCACUCUGUAACCAAUGUAAUUUUAGGUCCUUGAGAGACGGCCCCACUGCCUUGAUCUUUUUCAAGUACAAAAUAGGCUUUGAGCUGGUUUACUUUACUUGAAUCAGGGGGGAGAAAGACAAGGAGAGAGAGAAAGAAAGAAAAGAGGAGCCGAACUCUCUCGGUCUGAAAACUGAGGAUAGUCCCUCACCCAUGUGGUGAUUUCUCCCUGGACGGUUUAUAAACUGUCACAGUGCAAGCCACCCCAGACCCCCUUCUCUCUUCAAACCUGUGUCACUAACCCACAUUUUAAAAACAAGGCAGGAAGCAAUACAGGAAUUUUAGCAUGUUAUAUACACAAUACAGAUGAUCAUUUGAGCUGCCUCCGUGGGUAACAAUGCCUGCUGCCACCUUAAGGACUUGAGUCAAUCCUAGGACCCACACAGUAGAAGAAAACUCCCACAAGGUGUCCUCUUAUUACCUCGCAGGCACUGUAUCCUCCUCCUCUCAAUAUAAGAAGACACAAAGCAAAAUUAAUAGAAGUAUAAUAAAAAUGAAUACUAAAACAUUCUUUAAAACAUACAUGUCAUACUUUAACUGCCCAAAUAAGAUUAUUUCUCAUCAGUAUGUGUGUGUGUGUGUGUGUGUGUGUGUGUGUGUGUAUACAUGUGUGUGGGUGUGUAUACAUGUGUGUGGAUACAUAUAUGCAUAUAUAUAUAUAUAUAUAUAUAUAUGUGUGUGUGUGUGUGUGUG
rnacentral:lncRNA from 1 species